CAGGCCUGGGGCCAGUCCUGACUGGGGAGGGGGGGCUGAGUGUAUGGCAAGGCAUGCCCCCUCCCUCCUCUAGCCGUGGGGGGACAGGUAGUGACUGCGGGAUGGAGCUAAAACAGCCUAGAAGGACAGCAGGUCACCCAAAGAGAUUCAGGGAUGAAUCAACAUCCCCAGCAGCGCUACAGAGGAUGAAGCGGCAUGCAGCAUGUUCCAAGCCCUGGUCUCAAGCCUGCUCACUGGACCCGCUACUUCCAGCGUCCCCAUGCAGCCAGCCAAGAUGUCGAGCCACCCACCAGCUCAGUCACCCGACCUUUCCCACCUUCGGAUAGCAGAUCCCUAACCCCAGCCCAGCGUUCCUAGUCACGAAGGCAGCCACAUGCAGUAGGAGAGAACACUUUUGGAUCCAGACACCAUUUUUGAAUGGCCAAACCCUCGCGGGAUCCAAGAUGGUGGCCUAGACAUUAACUGGAGAGGACACCGCCGCAAGGCUUCUCGAAGCUUUACUUAAGGAAGGGGCUCGCCUGCUUGCCGGCCCAACUACAGCCCAGAACAAAGGGAAAGGAGGCAUGGCGGCAGGAUUAGGAGGCACUCGGGCAGCAGACAUCACUCCAGGCACUGCUCUGAAUCAUUUGGCAGCACAGGCUUCGCAGUGGGAUCACGGGAGCCCCCCCCCCAUGGGCAUCAGUACGGUGAGUACAAGAGGCCCAGAGACAGGGGUGGGCAGAGACCGCUAUUCACCUGGCCACAGGGGAUGCAGAAGGGGAGGAGCAAGGGAAAGCCCACCCCCACACCACUACAGGGCUAGUGCCAGCAUCCCCCACCAGUAUGCACUGUACACAUGACUGCUCCCAAACACCUGCCAAGGCCAGGGCCGGUAUUACAAAUUUACCGGCAAUGCUUUAAAAAAAAGCCCCUGGCCUGCCCCCAAUUCGCACAGAACUUACCUUUUUUCCAGCGCUGUGGACAUCGCUGUGAUGUUGCCCCGCCCCUUUUGUGGUACAGCGCAUCGCUCCGCCCUUUUUUGCAUCAUGGACCGCCCCUUUUGGUGCCCGCCUCCCACUAUUUUUCAGUAAAGGUGGCAACCGUACCCAGAAGCCCAAGACCACGCAGCCCGAGCGUAUCCCCCAGGCAGCAUAGGGUCCCCAGCAGCCUCUUUAGCAGGCCCUAUAGCAGAGCCAGGGGCAGGAGAAGGUCACCAGAGUGAGUUAGGCAAGAUAGGGUCAACGGCCCUCCAGUAUGCUUAUCUUAUUGCAGGUGAAGGAGAAAGCAAGACAAAGGGAGGAAUGGAAUCAACAGCACAGGCCAAGUGUAAACAGAGAUUGCAGAACUACAUCAGCAGGAUCAGAUGUGGACAGAGAUCAGAGAGAGCACAGAGGAGCCAGUUCAUCAGGGCAAAUGGGAUUACCUGAUUAACAAGGCAACAAUGGCAUCAUAGCCAGUCACAGCAGAAGCAGAGAGAGGAGUCAGCAGCUGAGAUGCAUGGUCAAAAGGAGGCAGGGAAUACAUCAAAGGAAACUGCAAAAAGGCGACCAUCCAUCCUGGAGCAAUCGAUUUCUCCUCCCUGGCAUUUCUAGUAACAGCAUGCGGCUUCUUCUCCUCCUUGAUUCGGGGCCCAGCAGAUUCUCGAUGAAGAAAGAAAACACCCUGGCUGUGGUGGUGUGCUGGCUUCCGUCGGUUCGCUGUGUCACCUUCUUUGUAAGGAAGGGUCGCUGUUGUGCAGGAGCAUGGCUGUCUGCUCAGGGGUAAAACUGGGGAGGAUGAUAGGGCCUUUUAAAGAACCCCCCAUUGAAGGUUUGAUUAUAUCCCCAUUAGGCGUGGUUCUAAGAAAGAUACAGGUAAAUUCAGGCUGAUACAGCAAUUAUCAUACCCAGAAGGUAAUUCAGUAAAUGAUGUAUAGUAUCUGUCAUUUGACCAGGCCCUGGAUGUAGUGAAAGCCAAAGAGUUAAAUGCCAAAAUGGCUAAACUGGACAUAGAGUCGGCUUUCCGGCUCCUCCCUUUAAACCCAGAAAGUUUUAAAUACAGUUUUUUUCCAAGGAGAUUAUUUUGUGGACAGGUGCCUUCCUAUGUGUUGUGCAGUUUCAUGUGCCUUCUUUGAGUGUUUCAGUUCGUUUAUACAUUGGUGUUUGGAGAGAAAGUCAGGGCAAAGGGACAUAGCCCAUUACGUGCAGGCCCGGAUUUGUGGAAAGGCCCCCUAGGCCCGGGCCUAGGGUGGCAGGAUUUUAGGGGGGCGGCAUGCUGC